GUGAAAAGAAAAAUAAGGAAAAUUCGGAAAGGACAAUACUUCAAUAAAGGCAUUGCGAAGAACCCUGAAGCUAAGUAUUUCUAAGUAUUUUCUCAGAGGGCUCACAAGGUGACAACAAUGGAGCCAUGAAAUGAACUCAAGAAAUCUGGUCCCAGGGCCCAUAUUCUUAGCUCCUACAUUAUGUGGCCUCCUGAUGAAAAAAAGAGCCCUCUUGAAAAAAACGCACAGAGAGGACCAGUAGACACAAAAGAAAAUGGAGGAAAUGGAAAGGAGAAGAGUAUUUAUUUUGUGUUAUUGAUGUUCCAGUUACUGCAUUUAGAAUUUUUCAAGAAUUAUCUCCUUGCAACAAUUCUGUGAAGUCAAUACUAUUACCACCUCCAUUUUUCUUGGGAGAAGAGGCUUAGGAAGACAAUGGCAACUUGGUAAAUGACCCACGGCUUGUAAGUGAGAGCUGGGAUCUGAUACCAGUUCUCCUUGACUCUGGAAUCUGAGUCUUAACAUUCACAAUGAACUGAUGAAACUGACUGGCAGGGUAUAAGUACAAAUCACCAGAACUUACAAAUGAUGUCUAAAAGGGCUGCAUCAUUGAGACUUGCAUGCUUUUCCUGAAAGAGAAGAGAAGUUAUUUAGUAACCGUGGUGGUAGGGUUGGUUCGACCCCAUGUGAUGCACAUUUUAGGACUGGUUAGCAUAGACUAUUAGCACAAUAUUAGUGGCUUACUGACAACCCAUUUCCUGACUGUUUUCCCAUUUGCCAACACGUGUACCUUCUGGCUCAGAUCUCAGUCCAGGCACUUGUUAAUUGUUCUCCCACAAUUCGCUCUUCGGUUAUUGCUUUUUUUUAAAAAAA